rnacentral:rRNA from 1 species
UACGUAGGGUGCGAGCGUUAAUCGGAAUUACUGGGCGUAAAGCGUGCGCAGGCGGUUUUGUAAGCCAGAUGUGAAAGCCCCGGGCUUAACCUGGGAAUGGCAUUUGGGACUGCAAGGCUUGAGUGCGGCAGAGGAGACUGGAAUUCCUGGUGUAGCAGUGAAAUGCGCAGAUAUCAGGAGGAACACCAAUUGCGAAGGCAGCUCGCUGGGACGUAACUGACGCUGAGACGCGAAAGCGUGGGGAGCAAACAGG